CACAAUUAUAUUUUAUCUUGUAACUUUCAUUAUUUUCUCUCUUAACAUUGGCGUAACAAUCCUGUUUGUUUAGAAUAUUAAAGUAGUUGUUUUUAAAAUAUUAGGGUGACAUUCUAAAUCUAAUAACAGUGUAUUUUUAGAUCAUCUGUGGUACUGAUUCGCUGGUAUUUAUGGGAACUGAACUGAAUAAAAUGGGAGUACUGUAUUUCAGUGCCAGUUUUCAUGCUAAAAUGGAAGCUAUACAGAAUUCAUUAUUUACUUUUGGCUACUAACCAUUACAUUGGAAGUAGAGUAACUAAUGAAUUAAUAACAAAUGUAAACAAAGGUGUGGCAAUGGCUAGAAAACUGGGACUACUGUUAUCAGAAGGGAAGUUAUGUUAAACACCUGGUAUCAAAUUGUUCCUUACGUGAGUAAUUCUCUACCAUCAUCAGGCACAAAAUGGCUAAAAGGCAGCAAAUCUUAUGGAUUGAGAGAUUGUAACAGGCUUGUGACAGCCUGGUAACCUGGACAAAGAUCAGAUGGCUGCAAAAAACAGAGAAAAAGAGAGAUCGUUUGGAGCUUGAAAAAGUUUUGCUUGCUUUCACUGCGACUGAUCAGAUGAGUAGGACCAGAGCUCUUAUUGAAUCGAGUCACUAAAAGCAAUUCUGGAAAGGUGACCUAAUCAACCAGGCUGGUGGAUACAGUGGGGAGGAGGAGGAGGAAAGGGAAGGUGACAGGGACUUGGCCUGAGUUCCUGCACUGCCAGCAACAGCAACAGUCCUGCUAUGAUUCUAUUUGAGAUGCUGAGGAGAAAUGAAACUAUCACCUGAUAGAGAAUAGAAAAGAGUGACACGCUUAUAGAACUCAGGGAAAGAGGUAAGUAAUAGCCUGAUAACACACUCCAAAGAAAGCAGAACUGCUGAAGAGCAUCCUGUUCCUCUCUUCAAAGGCCCAUCAGACAGGGCACAGCUGAAGUGGCACUGAAAGCUGCAUCACUCGGCUGUGGGGUGAAGAGUUCUUUGUGUUGUAAGCCCGACAGAAACUCUGCACUGUGAAGUAGUAUAAUGCCUUCAGGUUUAAAUCCAAGCCAGCACCACCACUGCUUCCAGAGCAGCAAUGCUUACGUCCUGUGCCAAUGGACUGUAAAUUCAGAAAUACACAAAACAGCUCAGCUUAGUAAACCUAACAGCUCAAUUCUGCUGUGGAUUGCUUUGUUUUGUUUUCAGUUUAAGCAGGCUCAGGAGGUGCCUGUAUUACAUGUAUAAGUAUUUAGAGGGGAAAAAAGCGCAGCUCACAAAACCAUUCAAUGGAUUGUAGUUUGUCGAAGAAAACUUGAAUGAAAAAUACAACGCAUUAUUAGAUAAAACCAGGCUGGAAGACAACAUUCACAGACUGAUGCUCCUGAUGAUACGCACCGUACCUAACCAAGGAUAUCACCUCCUUACAUCCAGUACGACAGCUGGAUAUCCUUUCCAAACUUACCCCCAUGACCGGUUGAAUUCUCAUCCUUCUGUGUGCUUCAGCUCCAUUGUACACUUCAGAGACAUUUUUUCACAAGCUCCUAACAAGUUGCUUGGGUUCCGUAAUUACUGACAGCAAACUGAGUCAAAAUGCCAAGUGUGAUUACUCUUUCUCAGUGCCUGGAGCCACACAAAUUAAGUGCAUAAAGCGCUGUGUGCAUCCCCAGAGAGCUAGCGGGCCAGCUACUGACCACAGUACUUCCAAGAGCAGGUCUAACAGCAGCAAUGAUUUUUAGCUAUGGAUUACCUUAAAGAAUAAAGUCUGAAUAAUGUCUUGAACAUGUCUGGUAUUCCCAGAUGGCAUUGUAAUAUCCUGAAAAAAUCUAUGGCCACCGAGCAUCUGAACAGCACUACAUGUGAGCUGUAAAUGUCUAUGACUGGUCAUUAUUCAUAUGGGGUAAAUAAAGAGGGAAAUACGUCAUACAGAGUUGAAAUGAUGGAGUCGGGCCAGGACAGCCAGUCCGCUCGCAUUCUGAGUGAUGCUGCUAGGCAAUGACAGUCCUAAUGUACUCAUCUCCCUUAACCCUGCUCACGGUGAUUUACUGUUCCUCUCUCACUACUUGCACAGACAGCAGGGGAAGAGACCAAGUGGUAAUUUUUCCCUACACCAAGUAUUCAGUUUCUCAAACAAACGGAUAGUAUGGCUCUAAAAAAGAUAGUCAUAAAUGAAGCUUUGUUAAAACUUCCUGAUCAACGAUAAUGUGAUCCAUUUAUUUAAUUUCUGUUGUAUGCAUUACCGAAUUAGCUGAGCACAAUUUCUGUACAAGACAAGUGAAAAAAUCAUGAAGAAUUAAAAGUCCGUGUGGUCACAAGACAAGUCACGUUAGCAUACCUUGGCCUUGCCAGAUCCUCUGUGACCGCUUUGUUUUACUUCCCUUUUUAAUUUAAAAAUACAAUUCCUGAUGAUUCUGAGGAGCUUAAACCUGCUUCUAUCUAUUAAAGGAAAAGGUACAGUUCUUCUCAG